GGCCAGACUCCUAAGGGAGGCAGCAGUGGGGGCUCUUGCACAAUGGGGGCAACCCUGAUGCCGCGACGCCGCGUGGGUGAAGAAGCGCCUCGGCGCGUAACGCCCUGUCAGCAGGGAAGAAAAUGACGGUACCUGAAGAAGAAGCCCCGGCUAACUACGUGCCAGCAGCCGCGGUAAUACGUAGGGGGCAAGCGUUAUCCGGAUUUACUGGGUGUAAAGGGGGCGCAGACGGCGAUGCAAGCCAGGAGUGAAAGCCCGGGGCCCAACCCCGGGACUGCUCUUGGAACUGCGUGGCUAGAGUGCGGGAGGGGCAGGCGGAAUUCCUGGUGUAGCGGUGAAAUGCGUAGAUAUCAGGAGGAACACCGGUGGCGAAGGCGGCCUGCUGGACUGCAACUGACGUUGAGGCCCGAAAGCGUGGUGAGCAAACAGGAUUAGAUACCCUAGUAC
rnacentral:rRNA from 1 species